UUUCCUCUGUUUUAGCAAAAACG
rnacentral:snRNA from 1 species